rnacentral:tRNA from 1 species
GUCCGUGUAGCUCAGCUGGACAGAGCACCGCCCUCCUAAGGCGGGUGUCGGGGAUUCGAAUUCCUUCACGGACG